rnacentral:RNase_P_RNA from 1 species
GAAGCUGGCCAGACAGUCGCCGCGUGCUUCGGCACGGGGAGGAAAGUCCGGGCUCCAGAGAGCAGGAUGCUGGCUAACGGCCAGACGCCGCGAGGCGAUGGAAAGUGCCACAGAAAACAGACCGCCGAUGAUUGGAUUUCCACCCGCGAGGGCGGAGCCAGGACAGGCAAGGGUGAAAAGGUGCGGUAAGAGCGCACCGCGGACGUGGCGACACGGACGGCACGGUAAACCCCAUCCGGAGCAAGACCAAAUAGGCAGGCCAUGACGUUGCUCGCGUCGCCUGCGGGUAGGUUGCUUGAGCGUCAGGUAACGAAACGCCUAGAGGAAUGACUGUCCACGACAGAACCCGGCUUAUCGGCUGGCUUCACCU